GAUGAAUGCUGGCGGCGUGCCUAAUACAUGCAAGUCGAGCGGUAAGGCCCUUCGGGGUACACGAGCGGCGGACGGCUGAGUAACGCGUGGGAACAUGCCCCAAAGUGAGGGAUAACGCACCGAAAGGUGUGCUAAUACCGCAUAUGGUCUUCGGAUUAAAGGAUUUAUCCGCUUUGGGAGUGGCCCGCGUACGAUUAGAUUGUUGGUGAGAUAACGGCUCACCAAGUCGACGAUCGUUAACUGGUCUGAGAGGAUGAUCAGUCAGACUGGAACUGAGACACGGUCCAGACUCCUACGGGAGGCAGCAGUAAGGAAUCUUCCACAAUGGGCGAAAGCCUGAUGGAGCAACGCCGCGUGCAGGAUGAAGGCCCUCGGGUCGUAAACUGCUUUAUGAGUGAAGAAUAU
rnacentral:rRNA from 1 species